AACGAACGCUGGCGGCGCGUCUUAACCAUGCAAGUCGAGCGGCAGGCAGCAAUGCCGAGAGCGGCGAACUGGUGAGUAACACGUGGAUAACGUACCCCGAUGUCUGGGACAGCCUGUAGAAAUAGAGGGUAAUACCGGAUAGAUCACUGUUUACGUGAGGUAGACGGCGGGAAAGGAGCUUCGGCUCCGCGUCGGGAACGGUCUGCGGCCCAUCAGCUAGACGGCGGGGUAAGUGCCCGCCGUGGCGAGGACGGGUAUCCGGCCUGAGAGGGCGGACGGACACAUUGGGACUGAGAUACGGCCCAGACUCCUACGGGAGGCAGCAGGUAAGAAUAUUCCGCAAUGGGGGGAACCCUGACGGAGCGACGCCGCGUGAACGAAGAAGGCCGGAAGGUUGUAAAGUUCUUUUCUGUUCGAGGAAUAAGUGUAGGAGGAAAUGCCUACAUGGUGACGUAGGGCAGGAAUA
rnacentral:rRNA from 1 species